rnacentral:lncRNA from 1 species
AGUCUGCAGUGCAUGAAGACUUCUCAUCCCCUUCCUCUGCAGUUCAGCCUCAGGGAAGGACCCUGUCAGGACUGGGUCCCAAGUGUCUUGGUGCUCUGUUUACUCUUGCUCUUGAAUAAACUCUGAGGGCUUUCAAUUGGGGCACUACAGACACCAGCAUGUCUAAAUGAAUUGAACACCUGCUGACACGACCGAUCAUAGAGGUUGGGUGAAAAGAAAAGUCUGAGACAGAUUUGAGUCACCAGAAUAAAUCUGAAUUGUGGAGCAACAGAAGACGUAAAAUAGAAGACUUUCAUCUAUGAAAGCUCAUAGAUGGCUGCAUGUGGAAUUUGGUAGUUACAAAGUUACAGAACAGUGCAAUAAGUCUAAAAUUUGAAUUUUUGAAAUACUGACAAUACUCCCACAGAAGUCAUUAACACUUCUGUUCAAAAGAUGGACAUUAUUUUGCAGGUCUGUUUUGCAUGUUUGUAUAAUGUCUUCUGUUUCACAGUGUUCUAUUAUGGGGCUGCUAGCUGGACUGCUGACCUCAUCUCUGGGUCUGCAUGACUGUGAUAUGAUAUGAUACAGAACAAAAUGUCUGUAAUAUCUGUAUCCUACAGAGCAUUAACUACAAUUAGAGUGUCAGUUUAGUUUGAAUGAGGUGCCAUUUGUUUUUUCCCAACAAAAAAACUGCUCCCAACACUCAGUUGCCUGGAUAAAACGCUGUCUCUUGAAAACCUCAGCGAGAAAACAGCUUAUCCUGAAGGUGAACAUCCUGACACAAAUGGUGAGUAAUCUACUUGAAAUAGUCAUAAUGUGACCUGAAAUGUCUUUCUGACAGUGCACAUGGCUUUUUCUCCUGCUCUGGGCUUUUGAACAUUAGAUGACCCUUCAGCUUUUACCUGAGAACAGUACCAUCAGACCUUUUCAUCCCAGCUCAGCUGAAGCAGGUUGCUAGAAUUGGGUCAGAUUGCUGUGCUUUCAGACAAGUUGAAUUCCUUCCUCAGGAGAUUGUUGACAAGCUCAGGAAUUGGACAUACCUCCGUCAAAGCAUGGCAGUAAUCCUUUUUAUGUAUUUAUUUCUACUUCAUCAACUCCGAACAAGAGUUCUCCUUAGAACAUAUGCUUCACUGGAGUUCUGGUUGUGCAGAGUAUUCUGCAUAUGGUGUAUUUUCUGGUGUGUAUAACUCCAUUCCCACCUCAUGUAUUUUUGACAGGGUAUCUCUUGUAGUUAGGAUAAUAAAAAUCACUUGUUAGACUGCAUUCUGAGGGGAAGAAACAUUCUUGUGUUGUAGCUCCUGUUCAGCAAGCUGUCUGAUCUGUGUUGGAGGAAAAAAUCAAUACACAGUUUGACUAGAGAAGUCAGAUCAAAUAUCAAUGUUUACUUUUUAUUUAGAGAGUUCAGGUGCUUUUUGUAGCAAAGCAAUUAAGCUGCUCCUAAUAGUACUACAGUACAUCUUGAAAGAGUUUUUGAGCUGACAUUGCUUUGGAGACAAAAGCAAUAGUGCACAUAUAUAUGCUAUGCUUGCUUUUGUUUCUGGUAGUUCAUCUAUAUUUUAUCUAGUUUAUUUUGACAACAGCUGCCUGAAUAGAUUAUAUAUACUCACUGUUCUUGUGAAAAGAGUAAGCCAUGCCAUGUCAUUGUAAGACAAAGCUGUGUUCUUUCAGGGAAGUCCUCGUCAGAAAUGACAAGUGAUGGUGCUGCAGGGAGUUUACCAAAUUAACUGUUUUUCAAAGCAUACGCUGCCAUUGAUUAUGACCUGACUUCUGAAAAGAUCUGACUUCUGUCACUACAGUCAUGAGAUACCUAUCAAGUGGAACAAACACUCACUGUGCUUGUUCUUGCAUAGCUUUUCCUUUUGAGGAAUUCAUCUGUCUUCGUGAUGUUUUGUGCUUCAGGCUUGCUGUUCAGACCCAUUGCCAGGUUUCUGUUUAUGACAAUAUAUUGGUAAACAAUCAAAUCUGUAAGGUAUAACACAGUUAUGUGGCUCUAAAUAGUUAAAAUGUUGACCAAUAUUAAGAAAAAGAUUUACUUUCAAAAAUUCAUUGGCAGGUAUAUUUGGAAAUACUAUGUCAAAAUGAUUUCAUAAUAAGUGUAGGUUUGUUAAGACUGAGUUUCUUCACUCAGGCCAGCUGCAGUAAGAGCAAGGAAGAUUUGGAACUAAAUUCUGGGAUGUCUGGUUAGUCUGGGAAAGAUCCAUUGGCAGCCCAAGAAAUCACUAGUUUUGUGGUAGAUAAAACAUAGUCCUUGGUGGAGAGGACACGGUAAAUUUUUGUAAGCGCAUCCUUCCUGCAACCAGUCUGUUCUGGGUAAACUGCCACUGAGUUUGGCUUAGGCAGCCUUUGGCCAGAUAACAGAGGGACUGGAAAGCAGAACCCCAAAUACAUGUCUGCUUCCUUACUCCUGCUGUUUAUAAACAAAACAACAUUUAUUCCUUUGAAGGUACAAAGCAAAUAUGAAAAUUUAUAACCAAGUACCCCCUUUUAUUGCUUCUCUCCUUAAUUUUGUCUAUGUUCACCACUCUUAAUAAUAAAAUUGUCUUGUUGCUCUAUGUUCCCUAUUCUUCAUAAGAACUGAUUUUUUUUCUCCUGAUCUUAACCAUAGUGCUGGAAAGAGCGAUUAUCCUUUACCUAGCUGCAGUGAAGUAACUCUGCUAGAUAAACGUUGGUAAGAGUUGCACUUGUGAUUUCAAGGUUCUGGUUUUUUUUCUUCCAAAUCACAUGGAUUUUCUGGAGAAAAGGAGGUUGAAAGGUGACCUGACUGCUCUCCAUGGUUCCCUGGGGAGGAGAAGUAAAGAGAGGUACUGGGCUCUGCUCCUGGGAACUGACAGCACCGUGGGAAUAGCAAAACUCUGCUCCAAGGGAGGGUCAGACUGGGCGUUAGGAAAUAAGUUAAGUUUCUUACAGAAGUGGUUGAUGCCUCUUGACUCUUAAAGUUCAAGAGGUAUUUGGACAACGCCCUCAAUAAUGUGCUUAACUAUUGGUUAGAUUUGAAAAGGUCAGGCAGUUGGACUUGAUCUUUACUGAUCCCACGCAACUGAACUAUCUUUUCUGUUUUAAAGGAUAGAACAUGCUGAACAGAAUUGGUUCUAUUUUAUAAGGCUGCAGUGCUCUAGGAAGCCUUCAGGAACCUACUUUUAAAAAUACAUUUUCAUAAUGUAAAAAACUUAUGUGAUUUCUUGUGUAUUUUUUUCUCAGCUGAAAGUUUUUAAUGAGCUGUGUAGAUACCUCCUGACAACCCAAGUGAAUUUUCUGUAUCAUAGAAGAUAUUUUCAUUUUAUUUAAAUGACUCCUUUUCUUAUUCUCAAAUAUAAAAAGUGCAUGUAAACAGUUCCCAGAAACUUAUACUCUAGCAAAACAAAUAGCAAAGCUUUAGAAUAAUCUUUUUUUUGCAAAACCUACUAACUUGUGAAACAACAGAAUAAGCCAUCUUAGAUGAAACAGUAUUUAAAGUAAGAGGCAAGAAAAUGAAAAGCAUGCUAAUUAUCAGAAAGUCUAUAAUUUUACUUCCAGCACUUUGCAAUUAGUGCACGCAUUUCUCAGAUACCUGCUAUUUAUUUUGAUUUUUUUUUGAUGCAAACUUCUAAGCACAUGAAAAAUUCGUUUUUAUUUGUACUUUCCUACUUAGUGUGUUUUAGCUACAGUUUUGCACUUAACAUGCAAUGAAAGCAUACAACCUGAAAAGUAGAUUUUUUUGUUUAUGAACUGUAAUUAUAACAUAUUAAUGAAAUUAAUAUUACAUUUUGUGCUAGAAACAGAAUAAGAGUGGAGAACAAGCGCUGCAAUUUAAUUUUGUAACAACAUAAUUAAGUGUCAUGUGAACACAAUGUACUACUGUUGGACCCAGUCAUUGCAGUAAGGUUGGUGGUAAAGUGGUUGGAAAUUUUUUUUAUAAUUAUUUGAAUGAUUUUCAUUAGUUUAGUAAAUAAUUUAAGCUGGCUGAUGCAGCUUGGUAUUAUGCUUACAGUCUAGCCAUAACUUUUGUCUGCAGGUUUUGUUUUCCCCCUCAGGAGUUUUGGAAAAUAAUAUGAAUGUUAUAAAUUUAAAUUAGAUGUUACUCUUUUCAAGAGAAGCUUAAGACCUAGGACCAGAGGUCCUCUUUGCCUUAAAUCCCCUUUAUCAUCAAAGCAAACAGUGGCUCUCCUCUCCUGGCCACCUUCUCUCCCUACCCAGCCACCUUCUGGGGGCUGUCACACACAUGCCCAACCAGAUUCCUGCUGUAUCAUGAAACCUGGCUGGAUAACUUCUCCAACACUUUUAGUCCUGACCCCCAUCAGUGUGACAUUAUUCAUGAACUGCAAGACCCUACAUCACCUUGUUGAGGAACUUCAUGAACCUCUGUACUUUUAGUCCUGUGGUUAAUGUGCUGGUGCCUCGCUAUUGUCAAGUUGCUGGAAUUAAGCUCACGCUGUGAGAAUAAAUAUUCCCAGUGUGCUGAGCAGGCAGUGGCACAGGAACUGGAAUAGCAUAGUGAGGCAUCUGAUAUUCAGCUGCAAACUUCUUUGGUUUUGAUGCAUGUAGUUUGACAAUUAUAGCUCAGAAGUUUGCUGAACUAUGGGCUACAUUUUGGACAUCAUGUUUAGCAGCCAUUGGCUGUAGACUUGUCUACAGUCUUUGUAUGAACCUGGUUUUAUUUCCAGCUUAUAAAACACUUUUGUGGGAAGCUGUUUCACAACAUGAAACUUUGUUGAAAUAAAUUGUAUACUAGCAUGUACAUAUCAUACUCCAUGCUAAUGGAAUCUAUCAGUAAUGUACCAAUAGCAACAGAUUGUAUCAUCAUCACUGCUCUUGUCCCCACAAGUCAGUAAGCCUAAGACCAUUUUGAUGUUCAUUUCUUUGGUUGUGUUAGGAUUAGUUAGCUGAGUAAGAAAGAAAUGAUUUGAAGGAAAACCUAUCAUUUUAUGUGUAAAUAUAAUAAUAUUCUCAACCAAAAAAGUCCUUGAUAAAAUUUAGCAAUUAAUUUUUUUAACUGUUCAAUUGUGUUUCUUUAAGGACAAUGAAGAUAAGUUGGUAACACAAAUCUAUGCUUGUAAUAAAUUACAUAGUUAUACUUAAUUUAUCAGUCAGAUAUCUUUAAGGAGUUUCUCCUACUUUUCUGCAUAUAAUUCUGAGUGACAGAGCUGUAAGCCACACACGUUAUAAGUACUGUGGGAUAUCAGAUAGAUUACUUGGAAAAAUGAACUAAUAGUUUGGUUGCUUUUCUUGAAUGCUUUUAGCUGCAGUAAUAUGUAAGUAAUAUGACUCAAUGGUAGCAAUCCUUCAAAACCUGAUCUAACUUAACAAUGUAGUCUGACCAUUGAGUAGCACUUCAUUUCUUAUUUAGUCACAGGGGAAAGGAAAUCGGCCACCUCAACUUUAACAUGGCUUGAAUGAGAAUCUAGUAAUCAGUGCAGGAGAAGUUGAUAGAUAGAGGAUGAUUGCUAGCAAUGGUAGGGACCGUUAUUUCUGCAUUGGCCUUUCUGUCUUAUAUUCAGGCUUGGUUUAUUUAACUUUGUUCUCAGUUAUUUAUACGAGGAUUAAUAUCGCUGGAUAACAUUUCUUGAUGCCUUUUUCAUUUUAACAGAAUUUAAGUCAGCAUUAGCAGGAUGCUUUAUCACACUAGAAAGAUUGUCAACGGUGCUUAAGUUUCUCCCAAGCUUUUUGAGAGCUGAAGAUUUUGGUAAAACUUCUAACAUUAUGGUUGCUUCUAUACUUCAUAUUACCUGAAUGAAUCAGGUAUAUUAUUGAAUGAAUCAUAUUGAAUGAAUAAGUAUAUUAGAUGAGAAUUAAAACCUUAGGAGAAAGAUUUCUGUACUCUUUUGAAUACUUUCUUUUUAAUCCUGCAGUGCUACUUAGAGGGUUAGUUUUCUUUUUUUAUCCAAUACGGUCAAGGUAUCUUCAAAGGAUGACAUAUAGCGAGCUGCCUUCUCCUUUUAUAUGAAGUUUUCAGAUUCAGUUUUCCAAAGUUCCCAUAGUGUGUUGUACCACCAGAAAUCAAAAAUGACCUAUUGCUCUGGCUCUUGAUGAUACUUGAGUAGUGUUCUUAUCAAAGAGAGCAAAUGUCAAACUGUAGAGCUCGUCAAAUGUGAAGACAAUAGGUUCUAUAGACACCUGAUAUAAAGCACAUUAAAGUUUUAGAUAGCAUGUUGCUGCUGAGUUACUAUGCCAACCAGAAAUUAGCUUUGCUAUUUCUUCAGCUGAAGAUCCCUUUUGGAACACAGACUCAGUGACUGAGGCAUAAAAGCCCACACGCAUUAUUUCAAGGGUGGAUUUAAUACACAAGUGAAAUAUAGACCUUGGAAAAUGCAUGUUUCUUUUGAGAGGAGCAGAAUCUAGAUAUUUAUUCUAGAAUCUAAGGGCACUGUAGGAACACCUUAUCCUGUAAUAAAUUACAAAAACAGAUUGCGUAGUUGGUUAUUUGUGUAUCCAAUCCCACUGUAUUACUUGCAGCUCCCCAGAAAUCUACCGGGUAUAUAAAUGAUUACACUUCUCCUCAUCAAAACAUGUAAUCUUUUUCUUGAUGUGCACAUUACAGGAAAUAUGCCUCAAAUCUUUUUUAAAUGAAAUCAUUUUUUUCUAUAAGAACUUAUGAUUUUUGUUGAGAUACUCUUUCCUUGUUGAUCUGCCUAAUGUCUGAAGUGAGAGCUUGAAUUUGGGAGCAGAAAGGGGUUUUAAUCUAGAUUUAACUAGAUGAUCCUUAAAGUCUCUUGCAACCCAGGCAAUUAUAUCAUUAAAGUUAAAUCAAUUCUAUGUUCUACUAUUUCAGAAGACUUCGUUCAGCUGUUUAAACAACAUCCAUUGAAAAGUAUUAACCUCCAGAAAUUUUAAAGGUCUAUGGAUAUCAGUCAUGAAGCUGUGGAGGGGGAUAUCUUAUCACAAUAUUGUAUUUGAAAGUAAUAAAAUCUGCUCAGUUGCUCUUCUGCUCUGGUUCAGUAAGCUGUAUUUACAGUGCUCAUUUCCCUGACUUGCCUAAACUCAAAUGUGUCCAAGGCUAAAACUGCACUUACCAGCCCAGUCUGCUGUACCACUGAACAUAGCCUCAGCCUCAUCCCAGCUUUGGCCAUUCUCUUGCAGCUCUAUGGAACAGCCAGGGUAUCUCCC